CGUGGAGAUGGCUUUAUAGCCAUCAGGAUGUCAGCAGGUGGGGAUUUGUAUUGUGAGCUCAGAAAUGGACAUUGAAGCUAUGGUGCUAAUCGAGGUUUAACGACACUCACGCAAGCAUAACACAAAAUUGUAAUGAUACAACCAGUAGAAGUGGCACUAGAAGAGGAAAUUGGAAUAAUGGUUUCAUCUGUGAUAAUCCUUCCCGGAAAUUUAUUUUUGGAAUGUCAGUUGUUGAUUCGUCAUCUGCUGAUAUGCCACGAGCCAAUUCAUUCUCCAACGAGGAUACGCAAGGCUUUAUCGUUAUGUCCACGUGACAUCAAGAACUUGGGGCUCUCUGGGAAGAAAUAGAGACAUGCCACUCCUACUAAAGUUGGGACCCCACACAUCAUUAGGUAUAUGCGCCAGGAAGACAAGACGA